GAUUUAGCCUAAUUCAAAAUCUAAAAUUGCUAAAUCAUUGAAAUCACACUACUAGUUUUCCUCGACUGUAUUCUAACUUAUAUACAUAUUUUAAAGCUUAUCUUCAAGGGACAGUUGUUUAAUUUUGGCCAAAUACAUUUUAAAGACCUGUAACUCUUGAAUAAUGUUCAAUCUUAACAUUUGUGAUUCCUUUUAUCUCGCCUAAUUGCAUAUUUUUUUAAAUAUUGUCAGGUUUUUACACACUGUCUUCAUGUUAUGAUGACGAUUAAAUAAUGGCUUAUGAAGAUAGGGGGUUCAGAAAGUUUUGAUAAUAUGUCUUUAGCUUGAAAAUUAGCAAAGAUAUAAAUUCUCAAAUUCGAAGUGACGCAAUUACUACUGUUCGUAGUAAAGUCAUUUCUAGCCAUUACGAUAGAAGAUUGAUUAACGUAGCUUCCAGUGGUCACUUAGAGAUUAUUCAAUGACAAGGGGGAGUUCAUUUCCAGCGAUAAGGUCUUAAACUCGUUAAACUUGACAGUAGAGAAUUUGAAAGUAAAAAGACUAUAAAGUAUCCCUUUCAGAUCUUGAGAUUUAUAGGGCAGAUGAUGAAAAGGUUACAUGUCUAUGUGGCCCAGGGCUAACAAUGGUGUCACAAGGCCAGUACAACGACUAACCAGCUUUAAUUUUCUCCGACUAAUGUCAGGUACCUUUAGACUUGGGUGGUUUCGGAGGCGCCCUAAAAAUCACGAAAUUCAAAAUCUCAGUCCUUACCGGGAUUCAAACCCGAGGCACAUUGUUUUAAAAGCCAAGCGCCUAACCAGAUUUCAGAGAAUCGGUUAGUAUUUUUGAAUUGUCUGUUUUGAUCAUUUGGUAAGAGUCAUCACUUAGAUAAAAGGACAACAGGGAUGAGUUCAGGUCUAGCAAUAAUGUCUUAAAGUUUACAGUUGUCGGAGACGGUUUGCUGAAGAUCUUUAAGUUAUCUACCGCUGAGGUAACGAGAACUCUUGAAAAUAUUGCACAUAACAAUGAAGUAUAAACUAGUGCAAAAUUGAGUCAGAAGAAUUAACUCCACUGUCAUAGGAGACUGCUAUAAGACUCCUGAGACUUGGUAGCUAGGAUGUACUUCUUAUCGCCUCUGUUAUGCUUCAGCAGACACCUCUUUUGUGACCUUCUUAUGUGCCAUUAUAUUCUUUGUGUUUAGGUUGAAAAUAAUGGAAACAGCCAAUAAAUGCGAAAAAACAUGUUUCACUUUAGUGGUGUGAAUUUAUCUCUUUUGCACCUCAAGGAAGGUUUGAAAUGAGUCCCAUGUUUAACAGUGAUGUGAUUCUCUCACGAAUUAAAUCAAAAACUGAAAAGCUGGUUAGUGAGACAAUUGAGUUACUUGUGGCUGCAAGUGUGUCACUGGAUGGAGCUAAAUUCUAAGUUUGACAUUGACUGGAGCAAAGCUAUUAUUGUGACAUUGGAUGGAGCUAAGCUUUUAGUGUGGCAUUGGUUGGAGCUAAGCUCUAAGUGUGACAUUGACUGGAGCUAGGUUCCAAGUAUGACAUUGACAGAAGCUAGUUUCCAAGCGUGACAAUGACAGGAGCUCUGCUCGAAGUGUGUUAUUUACUGUAGCUAAACUACAAUUGUGACAUUGGCUGGAGUUGGGCUCCAAGUGUGUCAUUUACUUGAACUUUGCUCCACGUGUAACAUUGGACUACAAGUGAUUCAUUUACUGGAGCUAUGCUACAAGUGUGUCAUUGUCUGUAGCUUCGUCUCAGCUUGUUAUUGACUGAAGAUAGGACCAAGGUUGUCAUUGGUUGAAGACAGGGCUGCAGGAGUUUGAUUAACUGUAGGUAUGUUAUUUACUGGAGCAAUGCUACAGGUGUGUAAGUGUGACUGAAGCCUUGCACCAGAAAUGUUAUUGUUUGGAGCUAGAUCUUUGCUUGUCAUUGUCUGGAGCUAGAUUUUUGAUUGUCUUAUACUGAAGCUAGAUCUUUGGUUGUCAAUGACUGGAGCUAGAUCUUUGGUUGUCAUUGACUGGAACUAGAUCUUUGGUUGUCAUUGACUGGAGCUAGGCUCCAUGUAUCUCUUUGACUAGAGCAAAACUUCCGGUGGUGUCAUUAAUAGGAGCUAGGCUCUAGGCAUGUCAAUGAAAAUAGAUAUACUUCUAUGAUAAAAUGCUUCUUUUCACGCAGUGUCCUCUCUACAGUCCAGAAUAACAAAAUAAAUCAUCCUAUCAUUAAAAUGUGUUUUCAGUCUCCAUAUUGUUCACAGAAGCUUCUUUUUUUUUGCCUCCUUUAAAGUCACGUGAUGCUGGCCAUUCCAAGUUUUGAUCAGUUUGCUUUAGGGAAAGAUUACAUUUUCGUAUUUUUUAAUUUUUCAUGUUUCAAAAUUGUCUCUAGGUCUAAACCUUUAGGCAUAUAGUGAGAAAUGGCACUAAAAAAAAUACCGGUAUAAUAAAAACUAUAGUUUUAAAAAAUUUUAAAUAGAAAUUUUAUGCUUGACAAAUGUAUUAUGAUUUGUUAUUGUGGAAAUUGAGCAGCCUUAACAGUAAAAAAAUAUACAUAACAACUUCAAGUAAAAUAACUAUUAAAAAUACGUUAUUGGCGUAAAAAGCAAAAAUAACAUGUAAAAAGACUAGCUUCAAAUAAAG